GCUCGAAUGGUGGAAUAGGUAGACACGCCGGACUUAAAAUCCUGUGACCAGUAAUGGUCGUGCCGGUUCGACCCCGGCUUCGAGUAC
rnacentral:tRNA from 1 species